rnacentral:rRNA from 1 species
UACGCCCUUGACUUUGGGAUAACUUCAGGAAACUGGGGCUAAUACCGGAUAGGAGCUCCUGCUGCAUGGUGGGGGUUGGAAAGUUUCGGCGGUUGGGGAUGGACUCGCGGCUUAUCAGCUUGUUGGUGGGGUAGUGGCUUACCAAGGCUUUGACGGGUAGCCGGCCUGAGAGGGUGACCGGCCACAUUGGGACUGAGAUACGGCCCAG